UAGGGAAUCUUCGGCAAUGGACGAAAGUCUGACCGAGCAACGCCGCGUGAGUGAAGAAGGUUUUCGGAUCGUAAAACUCUGUUGUUAGAGAAGAACAAGGACGUUAGUAACUGAACGUCCCCUGACGGUAUCUAACCAGAAAGCCACGGCUAACUACGUGCCAGCAGCCGCGGUAAUACGUAGGUGGCAAGCGUUGUCCGGAUUUAUUGGGCGUAAAGCGAGCGCAGGCGGUUUCUUAAGUCUGAUGUGAAAGCCCCCGGCUCAACCGGGGAGGGUCAUUGGAAACUGGGGGACUUGAUUGAAGACGGGGAGAGUGGAAGUCCAUGUGUGGCGUUUAAAUGCGUAGAUAUAUGUAGGAACUCCAGUGGCGAAGGCGGCUCUCUGAUCUAUAACUGACGCUGUGGCUCGAAGGCGUGGGGGGCAAACAAA
rnacentral:rRNA from 1 species